AUGGUCGGCCGCCUGGCCAAAAGGAGGUUACUGCAUCCGGCUGCUUUCCCCUUCUGUGACCGAGUUGAGGAGUCAAUUCAGCACAUCCUUGUGCGGUGUGUCUUUGCCCUGCAGGUCUGGUCUUGUAUUCUCCAAAGACUAGGCCUAAUUGCUAUUGCUCCACAACCCACCACUGGCUGGUUCUCAAGCUGGUGGUGCCAAGUUCUCAAUCAAGUUCCCAAAGAACUCCGAAAAGGGCUUAACUGCCUCAUUAUCUUGGUAGCGUGGGACAUAUGGAAGCAUCGGAACAAUUGCGUUUUCAGUGAUGCUAGGCAAAAUGUUUUCAUGGGUUGCUGA
rnacentral:rRNA from 1 species